CUUUAUUGAUUAAAGCUCCGGCGGGUAGAGAUGGGCAUGCGUGUCAUUAGCUAGUUGGUGAGGUAACGGCCCACCAAGGGCCACGAUGACUAGGGGGUCUGAGGGGAUGAUCCCNCACACUGGUACUGAGACACGGACCAGACUCCUACGGGAGGCAGCAGUGAGGAAUAUUGGGCAAUGGACGCAAGUCUGACCCAGCCAUGCCGCGUGCAGGAUGACUGCCCUAUGGGUUGUAAACUGCUUUUGUUUGGGAAGAAACCCCCGAUCGUGAUCGGGGCUGACGGUACCAUACGAAUAAGCAUCGGCUAACUCCGUGCCAGCAGCCGCGGUAAUACGGAGGAUGCAAGCGUUAUCCGGAUUCAUUGGGUUUAAAGGGUGCGCAGGCGGAAUAUUAAGUCAGUGGUGAAAUCCUGCAGCUUAACUGUAGAACUGCCAUUGAUACUGAUAUUCUUGAAUAUAGUUGAGGUGGCCGGAAUGUGUAAUGUAGCGGUGAAAUGCUUAGAUAUUACACAGAACACCAAUUGCGAAGGCAGCUCACUAAACUAAUAUUGACGCUGAGGCACGAAAGCGUGGGUAGCAAACAGGAUUAGAUACCCUGGUAGUCCACGCUGUAAACUAUGAUCACUCGCUGUUGGCAAUACAUCGUCAGCGGCUGAGCGAAAGCAUUAAGUGAUCCACCUGGGGAGUACGGUCGCAAGAUUGAAACUCAAAGGAAUUGACGGGGGCCCGCACAAGCGGAGGAACAUGUGGUUUAAUUCGAUGAUACGCGAGGAACCUUACCUGGGCUUAAAUGCAGAGCGACGUCCGCCGAAAGGUGGAUUCCUUCGGGCGGUCUGCAAGGUGCUGCAUGGUUGUCGUCAGCUCGUGCCGUGAGGUGUCGGGUUAAGUCCCAUAACGAGCGCAACCCUUAUCGUUAGUUGCCAGCGGGUAAUGCCGGGGACUCUAACGAAACUGCCGGUGUAAACCGUGAGGAAGGUGGGGAUGACGUCAAAUCAGCACGGCCCUUAUGUCCAGGGCUACACACGUGUUACAAUGGUCGGUACAGAGGGCAGCUACCACGCAAGUGGAUGCUAAUCUCGAAAACCGGUCUCAGUUCGGAUUGAAGUCUGCAACUCGACUUCAUGAAGCUGGAUUCGCUAGUAAUCGCGCAUCAGCCAUGGCGCGGUGA
rnacentral:rRNA from 1 species